rnacentral:rRNA from 1 species
UUGUUGGUAAGGUAAAAGCUUACCAAGGCUUCGAUCAGUAGCUGGUCUGAGAGGACGGCCAGCCACACUGGGACUGAGACACGGCCCAGACUCCUACGGGAGGCAGCAGUGGGGAAUUUUGGACAAUGGGGGCAACCCUGAUCCAGCCAUGCCGCGUGAGUGAAGAAGGCCUUCGGGUUGUAAAGCUCUUUCAGCCGGAACGAAACGGUUACGGUUAAUACCCGUGACUACUGACGGUACCGGAAGAAGAAGCACCGGCUAACUACGUGCCAGCAGCCGCGGUAAUACGUAGGGUGCGAGCGUUAAUCGGAAUUACUGGGCGUAAAGCGUGCGCAGGUGGUUUUGUAAGUCAGAUGUGAAAGCCCCGGGCUCAACCUGGGAACUGCGUUUGAAACUACAAGACUAGAGUGUGGCAGAGGGGGGUGGAAUUCCGCGUGUAGCAGUGAAAUGCGUAGAGAUGUGGAGGAACACCGAUGGCGAAGGCAGCCCCCUGGGUCAACACUGACGCUCAGGCACGAAAGCAUGGGGAGCAAACAGGAUUAGAUACCCUGGUAGUCCAUGCCCUAAACGAUGUCAACUAGUUGUCGGGCCUUUACGGGCUUGGUAACGUAGCUAACGCGUGAAGUUGACCGCCUGGGGAGUACGAUCGCAAGAUUAAAACUCAAAUGAAUUGACGGGGACCCGCACAAGCGGUGGAUUAUGUGGAUUAAUUCGAUGCAACGCGAAAAACCUUACCUACCCUUGACAUGUAUCGAAGCCCGCAGAAAAGCGGGGGUGCCCGAAAGGGAACGAUAACACAGGUGCUGCAUGGCUGUCGUCAGCUCGUGUCGUGAGAUGUUGGGUUAAGUCCCGCAACGAGCGCGACCCUUGUCAUUAAUUGCCAUCAUUUAGUUGGGCACUUUAAUGAGACUGCCGG